CCUACGGGAGGCAGCAGUGAGGAAUAUUGGUCAAUGGUCGGGAGACUGAACCUGCCAAGCCGCGUGAGGGAUGAAGGUACAGAGUAUCGUAAACCUCUUUUGUCAGGGAACAAAGGCGGGGACGUGUCCCCGGAUGAGUGUACCUGAAGAAAAAGCAUCGGCUAAUUCCGUGCCAGCAGCCGCGGUAAUACGGAGGAUACGAGCGUUAUCCGGAUUUAUUGGGUUUAAAGGGUGCGCAGGCGGUCUGUUAAGUCAGCGGUAAAAGCCCGGGGCUCAACCCCGUCCCGCCGUUGAAACUGGCAGUCUCGAGUUGGAGAGAGGUAUGUGGAAUGCGCGGUGUAGCGGUGAAAUGCAUAGAUAUCGCGAAGAACUCCGAUUGCGAAGGCAGCAUGCCGGCUCCACACUGACGCUGAGGCACGAAAGCGUGGGUAUCGAACAGGAUUAGAUACCCUGGUAGUC
rnacentral:rRNA from 1 species